UAGAAAUCCAAGAGCAUCCCCACCCCUCAGCUUCUAUGCAUUUAGCCCUGUUAAUUUCCAUUCUCUGCAUGUGGACCAGUUUUGUUCUUGACCAGAAAUGGAUCAGCACCAGAGAUUCAGAGACGCCCUUUCAGAAGGAGUACUUGGGACAUCAGUAGUAGUACCAUGGAUGGAGAUUUCCAAAACAGCUAGCUUUGGAAUUUAGAGGUAUCUGACAAUGCAAAGGGAAUAUUCUUUCUUUAUGUGCAGAUAAAGCAAGUCUAUAACACUGCUGGAAUUUACAAGGCUGUAUGAUUCAUCAUCAUCUAAUAAGCAGUUUCAACAUGCUAAACACUGUGAUAGGAACUUUGUGUGUAGCAUCAUAUUAAUUGAGUGUAACUUCUUAGUGAGUUAGAUGAUGUUAAUAAUGUUAGAUAACAUAUAAAGAUACUAGAGAGUGAUUUAAGUGUGCUGUAGACUUUUGAAAUAUUCAUUCUUAUCAAUAAUUAAAUUUUUUUUGCACUUGAAUGUACCCCAUGAAUUUUGGUGAAAAAGAAUAGAAAGGGGUAGGUAGAAUUCAAAAUAGCUUGCA
rnacentral:lncRNA from 1 species